GCAUUAAUGGGGUAGUGGUAACCUGGGUCGUUGCCAUGAAGGAGAACAAAGAUGUCGACCCGCCGGGGGUUCGAUUCCCUCUUAAUGCA